AAGAGGGGAAGAUAGAGGGGGAGAGAAAGAUAGACACCUGCGGACCCACUUCACCCGUGAAGCAACACUCCUGCAGGUGGGAGCCAGAGGCUCAAUCAGGAUCCUUAUGCCGGUCAUUGCGCUCCGUGCCACGUGCGGUCUGAGGUUUUCUCUUUAUUCCUUCCCUCAAAAGUUUGUUUCUUUUACAUGUGAGACCUGAGCACCUCUCAACUCUGGCACAUGGUAAUGCCAGAGACUGAAUUAACCAGGCUACAUUUUAAAACUGAACAGCUUGGCUUCUCCAUGACUCAAAGUUUGCUUUGCGUAACAAAUGUAUUGCAGUGGGGGAGGUGCACAGCGGUAGACUGCUCGACUCACCAGCGUGUGGUUCUGUCCUUGGCACUGCAUAUGCCGGUGAUGCUCUGGUUCUCUGUUUUAAUCUAGUUAAGUUAUUGGAGCCAGGCAGCAGUAUACACAUGAGCAUACAUGAGAAGCAAAAGGGAUGUAGCAAUAAUAACUGCAAUAAAAACAAGGGCAACAAAAAGGAAAUUGGGGGGGGGGGCGAGACCUGUAGCUCUUCAUCGCCACUCAUGAAGCAUCAUCCCUUUUGCUGCACUUAACCAAGUGCAAAAAAGAAAACCUAGCUUCUAGAGAUUGACUAUGUCCACCUCAGCGGAGGAUGAUUCUGAAAUGAAGCCAAACUUAAGAAUCUUAAGUAAACCAAUGAAGACUCUUGUCCCAAAUUGCUAAUUAUAGGCAGGGGUUCAACGCUUAACAUUCAUAACUUUGAUAUUAACCUCAACAUCACAAUGGAGAUAGGUAAGGCCUAGCUGGGUUCUGAGAAAUUGCAAAAGAAAACAUUUAUUCUUU